rnacentral:lncRNA from 1 species
CGGCAGCUUGGUAGGCAGAAUUGAGGAGACUCCAGCUGGGAUUACAAUUAAUUGGAGGCAGCAACUUUGAGAAGAAUAAUUACAUGCCUGCUGGGUGUUGAAAUUAAUAUGAAAACACACAGAAAUUCAACCGAUUGUUUGAGGAAUUAAUUGGCAGUAGCUUGGGUUCUCUCCAAAGUCAAUUAUUGCAGCUGUUAAGAGAUUGAAUUGGUAGCAGCAAGGCAAUGGACGACUGGAUAGAAAAACGGUAAACAGCAGAUUUACUUCGAAAAUUAUUAAUGUUCCGCCAAUUCUCGGUGACGUCUUCCAUAAUUUCUCGUUUUUCUUCCAUUAUUAUGAGUAGUUAAAUUUGAUUUUAGGGCGAACAAUGUAAUCUUUUGGAAUCCUUUAUUUCAUGUAAUUGAGAUUCUAGUACUUUUAUAUUUUAUGUGUUGAUUUUAAUGUUGUUCUUAAUGCAUUUAAUUACUUGAUCACUAAUUAGAUGAUUUGUGAACAAUGAUUGCGUAGAAAUGAGGAUUAUUUGUUUAGACCACAUGUUAAAAUUCGGUAAAUUGAUAUAACGUGUAGAGAUAGUUAUAUUGAUUGCUGCGGUCGUGUGUGAAUUCUUACAACCAGUAUUUCGUUUAAUUAAAUUUAAUUUGCAUAGAGAUAUGGAAUUGAACUAAUUAAAUAGGCUCAACGAGAACUCGAGAAGGGUAAGUUGAAUACAAUAGAAGAAUUCGACCGAACACUACCUUAGGUUUUAUGAAUCUUGAUUUAUGAAGUAAAGGUGACCAAUAGGUGAAAUUGUUCCGCCCUAACGUCCAUUUAUUGUUUGAAUUCUCAAUCACUUUUCGUUGCAUCCAAUCGCAUUUUUAAGUAUUUAGAAUAAAAAUCACAUUUAAUCAUUUUUUUUUGUUUAUUUUCGUCAAAUAGAAGUUAGAAAUAAUAAAUUGCGCAUUAAAAGUAUAGUCCUCGUGGGAACGAUAAUCCGGACUCAAAAGGUCCACUUUACUACUUGUUACGAUCCGUUCGCUUGCGGGAUAAAAUCGACAACAAUAGAAUAUAAACAUAGAGGCUGCUAUAAUUAUAAAAUUAAAUGGCAGAUUAUUGGACAUGAUUUCAAGCUAGACAUGCUCUGCUUUGGUUGGAGCAGGAUCCACGCACGAUUCCCUUAUACGCCCCUACAAGAUUGAGCUUCCAUCGACAAGACCAAUCUUUUUGCAUAGCAAUUCUGUGCGCUGUUUUGACAACGACUUUGUCAACAGAUCAUCAAGUUGGUUGUGAAUAUGUACAUGUCUAACUUGGAUGCUUCAUUUUUGCACUAAGUCAUGCACAAAGUGAAGAUCAGUUUGAAUGUGUUUCAUGCAUGAAUGAUCGACCAGGUUAAAACUGAGAUGUGUAGCUCCGAGAUUGUCACACAAUAGUUAAGGAGAUUCUUUGACUGGAAAUGCGAGUUUUUUUUUAAAAGAGUGGAUAGCCACAUUAUCUUGGAAGCUGCAUUUCCUAGAGCUCGGUAUUCAACCUCUAUUGAGGAUCGCGCUACGGCUAUUUGCUUCUUUGAGCUCCAAGAAAUGGGGUUAGAUUCCAAAAAAUUGAUAUAAGCAAAGGUUGAUGUGCGGUCAUCCACAUUUCCAACCCAAUCGGCAUCGGAAUAAGUUCAUAAUACCGGGGAGCCAACUUUGUUGAUUUGAAUACCAUAGAAAAUGGUUUGUUUUAAGUAGAGGAGGAGUCUCUUAGUUGCUAUCCAGUGAUUUGUAGUCGACUUGUGCAUAAAUUGAGAGAGUUUGUUGACUGCAAAUGAGAUGUAUGGACUCGUCAAGGAGAGGUAUUGAAGGCUGCCAAUAAUUCUAUUGAACUCAGAACUGUCCACAGUAGCAAUGCCAUCAACUAAUUGAAGGGAUUGAGUGGUAGAGAGAGGUGUUGAGACAUCUUUUGCACAACUCAUACUUGUGUGGGCUAAAAGUUCACGAACAUAUUUAUGUUGUGAGAGGAAUAAUCCUGCUUGGGUAGGAAUUACUUCAAUUCCCAAGAAAAAAUGAAAAGAACCCAUAUCCUUGAGAGAGAACACGUCACCCAGCUGUUUAAUAAUGGUGGCUACAAGUGUGAAAUUGUUUCUAGUAAUGACAAGAUCAUCAACAUAAAGUAGAAAAUAACAGAGAUUAAAACCUUGGUUGUAAAUGAAGAGAGAGGGAUCUACUUUAGAAUUGUAAAAACCCAACUGAAGAAUGGCAUUUUUAGUGCUGUGUACCAAGCCCGUGGCGCUUGUUUAAGCUCAUAGAUGGCCUUUUUUAAUCAAUAAACAUGAUUAGGUUUGGACAAAUCUUUAAACCCUGGAGAUUUGUCAAAAACACAGUCUCAGUUAAUUCACCAUUUAGAAAGGCAUUGUUGACAUCCAUUUGCCUCAAAUCCCAUCCAUUCAUAACUGUAAUAAAUAGAACAACUCUGAUAGUUGCUAGUUUAAGUACAGGGCUAAAGGUUUCUUUAUAAUCAACACCAAGUCAUUGAUUAUAGCCUUUAGCAACUAGACGGUCUUUGAAUCUGUUAACUGACCCAUCAGCUUUCCUUUUCACUCUGAAUACCCACUUACAACCCAUGGGUUUACAAUUUGAAGGUGGUAAAACUAGGUCCCAGGUCCCACGUUUAAUUAGAGCGGUGACCUCAUUGGACAUGGCCUCACACCAAUGAGGUUAAGAAAUGGCUUGACUCAGACUCGUUGCUUCAAUGGUCUGGGGAAGAGGAUGUUUGGACACAGUGUGGAUUUGUUUAGGCUUGAAAUUUUGGUUCAUUGAUCUUGUGGUCAUGUUAUGAGUGCGUUGGGAAGGAUUAUUUGGUUCGGUUGGGUAUGGAAAAAUGGGAUUUGUGAGAUUAUGAAAUUGACCUAAAGAGAGCGUAACAAUGGCAGGAGACCCUUCUGGAGGUGGCGAUGAGGGUGGCUCACCAAACGACAUUGAUGGAGGCACGAUAGCUUGCUAAGCAUCAAAAAAGAGGGAAAGAAAUUUGUGAGAUUCUUGAGUGUUCAGGGUUGUCAUGGAAGGCUCAGGGUGGGACAGACUGGAGUGAUGUUGAUUUUCAUCAAAUAACACGUGUCAUGAGAUGAAGAAUUUCUUUGUUUGAGGUUCAAAACAUUUGUAUGCAUUUUGAGUUGGUGAAUAACCGAGAAAACUGUAGACUUUGGACAUAGGCUGCAUUCUAUUUGAGUUAUAAGACCAUGUGAGAGGAUAGCAGAUACAACCAAAAUUUUUUAAUUUCAAGUAAUUGGGUGUUUGACCAAAAAGGACUUCGAAAGGUGAUUUUCCUCGGAGAAGACUAGUGGGUUGUCUGUUUAUGGAGUAAGACGCUGUUUGAAAAGCAUAAGGCCAAUAUGACAAAUUAAGAUUUGCAUCAUAAAGAAGUGUAAGACCCGUUUCAACUAGAUGACGUUCUGAGACACCAUUUUGUUGUGGGGUGUGUGGAGCAGUGGUGUAGUGAGUUAUGCCUUAGAGUGAUAGAUAUGAUUUUAAAACGAUGAACUCACCACCAUUGUCGAAGUAUAGUAUUUUGAUAGGUUUUUGAAAGCGGGUUUCAACAACCUUUUUGAAAUGUGGGAAAAUAUUAGAAAUACUGGAUUUAGUGACCAUUGGAUAAAACCAUAUAUAUUUUGUAUAAUGAUCAAGAAAAAUAAGGUAAUAUCGUGAUCCAUCAAUUCCAGUAUAACUAGCAGGACCCCACACAUCCGUGUAAAUAAGUUCAAGUGGCUCAUGACUUUGAAGACUAGUGGCAUGGAAGGAUUGUUGAUGUGCUUUAUUAAUAGAACAUGAACUACAUAAUGAAGACAAGUUUUUGUUCGAUGAAAUAGGAAGAGAAAUUUUUUUGACAAGAUGAUGAACAAUUUUAGUAGAAGGAUGCCCAAGACACUUGUGUCAUCCAUCAAAAGAAGUUCGUUCAUGUACAUUAGCAACCUUUUUUGAUGUCAACGUUGAUUCCGGAAAGGUGUAGAUGCCAUUGUUACAUACUCCUCUUAGCAGGAUUGACCCCGUGAUCUUGUCCUUCACAAGAAAAUGAAAAGAGUGAAAUUCAACAAAGACAUUAUUUUAUUUGGUAAGUGAUGAACAGAAAUUAAAUUUUUGUAAAGAUUUGGAACACAAGGAGUAUCACGCAAUGUAAAGGUUCAGUGAGGAGAGUGCAAAGCCAAGGAACCAAUGUGUGGGACUGCCAAACAUGAACCAUCACCGAGAAUUACUUCGUCAGUUCCACCAUAUUCGGAGUGAAUAGAUAGAUUGGAAAGAUCACUCGUGAUAUUAUGAAAAGCGGCCGAAACAAGUAACCAAUUUUUAUGCUUUCCAGCAGAUGUUGUAGCACAAUUUAUGGAGACAUUCUGUAAAUGGAAUUGAGGACUUGGCAAUGUGGCCCAAUUGGUCACAAAUUUGACAUUGGGCUGGUAACGCCGAUUGUAAUUGUUGGGCCGACUAGAAUUGUUGUAGCGACGUCCAUCACCCUGGGCUCCAUUUGAGUUUCGACUUUUGCUAGAGCUUUAAGGCCCACGUUGAGGACUAUUUUGCUUGAAAGAACAUGGGUGACUCUCCCUUGUGCAGGCUGCUUCAUCAUCGUAUAAUUUGCAGAAACCACCAGAUUCUGUGUUGUAGCUUACAGAUGCCGUAAAUAUGCCUCGUGUCCAACCAAAAGGUCGUGCAAAUCCUCAAAGGCCAAUGAUGAUUCUCGGGCUCGAAUAAGAGCAGUAAUCUUCCAAAAAUCUGGACCUAAAUUGUUUAAUACAUAAAGGGUUAGGCCAUCAUCGGAAAUUGAAUGAUCAAUAAUGGCUAAUUCAUCGGCCAAGGCCUUCACAGCAUGGAGAUAUUUUGUGGUCGAUCGAUUUCCACGUUGGAUUAAGGUGAGUUCCUCCUUUAACUACAUAGCAUGAAUUCUUGAUCGGUUAGCAUACAGAGUUUUUAACUUUUUCCAAACUUCAUGAGAGGUCUUUGCCAUAGCAAUGAGUGGGGUGAUUGAAGGAGAUGUGGAUGCUAGAAUAGCACUCAGGAUAAAUUUAUCCCGUCGAACCCGGCGGGUCUUGCGCAGCUCAUUAGUGGAGGUACCAGCGGAAGAGGAGCACCGAAGGGUGCCUUCGACAUAGUCGAGUAAAUCAUAACCAAUAAGGAGUGUUUCAAAUUGAGCAUGCCAUUGGGGAAAGGUGGAGGGAGUUAAUUUUUCAUUGACUUGGGCAGUAAUAUUGAGGGCAAUCAGGGAUUUAUUUGCUCCAAAAGGAGGUUGGGUAUUGAGGUUAAAGUUUGAAGUUUGAUCAAAAGAGGAAGACAUGGUGGUGACUUGGAUCGAUGGCUCGUUGGAGAUCGAUGGCUCUGGUACCAUAUGAAAGAACAGAUUGUGAAGGAACACAUAUUCUGUGAUUUCAAUGAAGAAUUUCCCACACAUUUUAUUAAUAGAGAUUCCGUGUUAUAUACAAGGUGAUUGAGGAGCUGGUUUAGGAAAUACAUACAUGGUAAGGCUAAAUCUAUGCUGCUGUUACAGUGUAUAGAAUACAAAAAUAGAAGCUACUCUUAUUAUAAAAUUAAAUGGCAGAUUAUUGGACAUGAUUUCAGGCUAGACAUGCUUUGUUCAAGUUGGAGCGGGAUCCACGCAUGAUUCCCUUAUAUGCCUUAUAAUGACAUUCUUCAUCGUAACUUAAUCUCCUUUUCUUUUCUUUUUUUUUUCUUUCUUCCCUGAAACAACUUCUAUAUUCUUGUUUUUCGCCUUCUCUCUCCCUCUAUAUGUUUGAUGACCAAUUUAUUUAACAUGUUUUGGGUGUGAUCAUGGACCUGAUGCAAAAACCGAGCUUAAAGUUGCUUUUGCUGUAGAAGGUAAAGUUCCAGAUACUGACUUUGAACCAGCAUCUUAUUUGUUCAUCUGGUUUUGAGAAUUUUUGAGUGCAUCUAUUCUUUCCCUUUUGAUUUUAGUAUUUCCAUCUGUCAACCACAGACAACCCUAUAUUAUAAUUAUCUGUUUUAUUUUCCGAAGUGUCUAUAACAUUCUCCCACCUGGCUUUCUAGGCUUUAAUUUUCACUUGUAUCAUUGUUGUUCAUGGUAGAUGGUUCCUAUAAACAACGGGAGAGGCUGUGAGCAACGUCUCUGCGAUGAAAAAAUGAUUGGAGAGGCUGAUGACGUGGGAGUAGAGGUGCAACUCUGUAAUACAACUUCCAGAAAGUCUUUCAUCUGUUCGUUUGCCUCAGAUCCAAUUUUUACUCUCUCAAUGAUGUAUUGGAUUUCUUAGCUGAUCCUCUAUUGCUUAUUGAUAUGGUGUAAAAAUGUGAUUAUUGAAUUUUGCUCACAAGACUUGAAGUUACUUGUUAGUGACCCUCAGGUUAUGUGAUUUCAAAGAAAAUCCCUUCGAAUGACUGACUCUUUACCUUGUUGGGUACCUGUGCAGGUGAAUGAGUUAACAUUGCUGUUAAUCUCUCUGUGAUAAUGAAGACAUCAACCAGUGGCAAGGUGACUAAAAACUGCAGCUUAUAAUCUUAUCCUUCAGGAAUGUUUGGUACGAAAUUGUUCUCCUGUCCACAUUCUGUCCACUGUGGACAAAAUAAGACUGUUCACUUGCUGAUGUGGCAGAACAACCUUACUUACGGUUCUAUUCUUAUUUACAGUUCUGUCCAAAUAUGAAAACCGUACUUACAGUUCUCUCAUAGUGGACAGAAUAAAACUUCUCACUAUGGGCAAAAAACCAUUUCUUAUGUUGGGUAUAUAGUAUUGGUCAUGAUCGAAAGUAAUGCUACAGGGUCCACCUUAAC